AAGGUUAUAGCUCAGUGGUAGAGUGAGUGCUUAGCAUGCACGAGGUCCUGGGUUCAAACUCUAGUACCUCCA
rnacentral:tRNA from 1 species